ensembl:misc_RNA Y_RNA Y RNA
GGGUGGUCCGAAGGUAGUGCCUUAUCUCAAUUGAUUGUUCACAGUCAGUUACAGAUCAAACUCCUUGCUCUGCUCCUUCCCUCUUCUCACUACUGCACUUGACCAGUCUAAA